GUAGAAGCCACGAGGGAGUGUACAGUAAUGCUCCAUCAUGUGCUGUGGGUGACAGCCUAAUGUACGCCUUAAUGUAUGCCAGCAGGACCCCCUUUUGAAAAAUUAAUGUUACUGAGUAUUACUGAACACAUUUACGUGUUGCAGCUUGGCACAUUUCCACGUCGGCCGCCUGCCCAUUGACCCUUAGCUGACCCUUGACCUCGCUCCAAACCGGUUGUUGGAGGCGGGGGGGAGAGGUAGAGGAAACUUUCACCUUAGUGGUCAACCUUCCCACUUCCUCCAGGCUCCCCCCCCACACCCCCUGACCUCAGUGACCAAGACCCACCUGUUCUGACCUAUAUAUGUGUAUUUUUCCACAUGACUGUAUACUUAUAAAUAAAUUAGUUCUGGUGAAA